UUCCCUUCAUUCUUUGUCCAAUGUGUUCUUACACAUUUCUCAUGGAAAGAUCCUUCCUAGGAACUCAAGGCUACAAAGUCAAUGACCUGGAUUAAAUUAUAGUGAAUCAAGUUGGAGUUAUACAAGUCCUGGGAAGAAAGUGAGAAGAUUAUCUCCCAAAGGUGUUGCAAAACCAUCUUCUGGUAGGAAUAUGGAGCAUGUAUAAUGGGUUUCAAGUGUGCUGGAUCAAG
rnacentral:lncRNA from 1 species